UAAAAACAAUAAACUCAAAGCAUUUUCUGUGCAGUGAGGAGGGCGACGAAGAAGAAGAAGAGGAAGAGACACUGAUGAAUCCUCCGUCUCCAUCACCAUACCUCACCUUUCUUCCUUCACCCGCUAACCCUACCUUCUUCUAUUCUCUUCUCCACCACCACCAACUCAAUCACUUCACCAACACCACCACCUCUGCCUCUGCCACAGCCUCCUGAUCUCCCUACCGCUCUCUCAACACUCAAACACCUCAUCCACCUCUCCAAAACCACCCUCCACUCUAUCUCCACUCUCCUCCCCACCACCGCCACCACUAUCGCCCUCUGCUCCUGCCCUUUCAAUUUCCACCACCGCCUUCCGCCGGAAUCCCUUUUCCGCCACUCCCUCCAAUGCCCUUCUUCCCCUUCCCCUCUUUUCAACCUUAACCCCCUCCUGCUCCAAUCACUGUGCUACCCCAACACUCUCAAACCCUCUCGACAACUCUUCAAUCAGAACUGCUUCCUUCAAACCCUACACGAUACCAACUCCAACCUCUGCUUCUCCCUUGACGAUUACUACGACUUCAGCCCCAAUUUCUUCUACCGUAAUUGCCCCGGCGUAGUUAGGUCUACCGAUCGAGAUAGUUUGAGCCGAACCUUCACUCUCCCAGUGCACAUCAAAGAAAGGUGGAAGUGAGACAAUGGACCUGAUUGAUUGCAGAAUAAAAGUUUGGUAGCCAGUGGACAAGUGGUUUUAUGGAGUAGUGAAGUCUUAUGACUCUGAACAUAAGAAAUAUGUGGCAAGUGCACCGUUCCAUGUUCUAUUUU